UACGGAGGGGGCUAGCGUUGUUCGGAAUUACUGGGCGUAAAGCGCGCGUAGGCGGACCUGCAAGUCGGGGGUGAAAGCCCGAGGCUCAACCUCGGAACUGCCUUCGAUACUGCGGGUCUCGAGUCCGGGAGAGGUGAGUGGAAUUCCUAGUGUAGAGGUGAAAUUCGUAGAUAUUAGGAAGAACACCAGUGGCGAAGGCGGCUCAGCUGGCCCGGUACUGACGCUGAGGCGCGAAAGCGUGGGGAGCGAACAGG
rnacentral:rRNA from 1 species